rnacentral:rRNA from 1 species
AGUGAACGCUGGCGGUAGGCCUAACACAUGCAAGUCGAACGGCAGCACAGAGGAGCUUGCUCCUUGGGUGGCGAGUGGCGGACGGGUGAGGAAUACAUCGGAAUCUACUCUGUCGUGGGGGAUAACGUAGGGAAACUUACGCUAAUACCGCAUACGACCUACGGGUGAAAGCAGGGGAUCUUCGGACCUUGCGCGAUUGAAUGAGCCGAUGUCGGAUUAGCUAGUUGGCGGGGUAAAGGCCCACCAAGGCGACGAUCCGUAGCUGGUCUGAGAGGAUGAUCAGCCACACUGGAACUGAGACACGGUCCAGACUCCUACGGGAGGCAGGCAGUGGGAAUAUUGCGCAAUGGACGAAAGCCUAGACGCAGCAACGCCGACGUGCGGGAUGACGGCCUUCGG